rnacentral:rRNA from 1 species
UACGUAGGGUGCAAGCGUUAAUCGGAAUUACUGGGCGUAAAGCGUGCGCAGGCGGUUCGUUGUGUCGGCGGUGAAAGCCCCGGGCUUAACCUGGGAAUGGCCGUUGAAACUGGCGAACUGGAGUGUGGCAGAGGGGGGUGGAAUUCCGCGUGUAGCAGUGAAAUGCGUAGAGAUGCGGAGGAACACCGAUGGCGAAGGCAGCCCCCUGGGCUAACACUGACACUGAGGAGCGAAAGCCAGGGGAGCAAACGGG